rnacentral:tRNA from 9 species
GGAAAGUAAACCAAUAAGGUGAUUGGCGCCGCCUGCUAAGCGAGUGGACUGUUAAUUCGGUUAUGGUUCGAUUCCAUUGCUUUCCGCCA